AGAGUUUGAUCCUGGCUCAGGAUGAACGCUAGCUACAGGCUUAACACAUGCAAGUCGAGGGGCAGCAUUUUAGUUUGCUUGCAAACUGAAGAUGGCGACCGGCGCACGGGUGAGUAACACGUAUCCAACCUGCCGAUAACUCCGGAAUAGCCUUUCGAAAGAAAGAUUAAUACCGGAUAGCAUACGAAUAUCGCAUGAUAUUUUUAUUAAAGAAUUUCGGUUAUCGAUGGGGAUGCGUUCCAUUAGUUUGUUGGCGGGGUAACGGCCCACCAAGACUACGAUGGAUAGGGGUUCUGAGAGGAAGGUCCCCCACAUUGGAACUGAGACACGGUCCAAACUCCUACGGGAGGCAGCAGUGAGGAAUAUUGGUCAAUGGACGAGAGUCUGAACCAGCCAAGUAGCGUGAAGGAUGACUGCCCUAUGGGUUGUAAACUUCUUUUAUAUGGGAAUAAAGUUGUCCACGUGUGGAUUUUUGUAUGUACCAUAUGAAUAAGGAUCGGCUAACUCCGUGCCAGCAGCCGCGGUAAUACGGAGGAUCCGAGCGUUAUCCGGAUUUAUUGGGUUUAAAGGGAGCGUAGGCGGAUUGUUAAGUCAGUUGUGAAAGUUUGCGGCUCAACCGUAAAAUUGCAGUUGAUACUGGCAGUCUUGAGUGCAGUAGAGGUGGGCGGAAUUCGUGGUGUAGCGGUGAAAUGCUUAGAUAUCACGAAGAACUCCGAUUGCGAAGGCAGCUCACUGGAGUGUAACUGACGCUGAUGCUCGAAAGUGUGGGUAUCAAACAGGAUUAGAUACCCUGGUAGUCCACACAGUAAACGAUGAAUACUCGCUGUUUGCGAUAUACAGUAAGCGGCCAAGCGAAAGCAUUAAGUAUUCCACCUGGGGAGUACGCCGGCAACGGUGAAACUCAAAGGAAUUGACGGGGGCCCGCACAAGCGGAGGAACAUGUGGUUUAAUUCGAUGAUACGCGAGGAACCUUACCCGGGCUUAAAUUGCAAAUGAAUUAUGGGGAAACCCAUACGCCGCAAGGCAUUUGUGAAGGUGCUGCAUGGUUGUCGUCAGCUCGUGCCGUGAGGUGUCGGCUUAAGUGCCAUAACGAGCGCAACCCUUAUCUUCAGUUACUAACAGGUCAUGCUGAGGACUCUGGAGAGACUGCCGUCGUAAGAUGUGAGGAAGGUGGGGAUGACGUCAAAUCAGCACGGCCCUUACGUCCGGGGCUACACACGUGUUACAAUGGGGGGUACAGAAGGCAGCUACCUGGUGACAGGAUGCUAAUCCCAAAAGCCUCUCUCAGUUCGGAUCGAAGUCUGCAACCCGACUUCGUGAAGCUGGAUUCGCUAGUAAUCGCGCAUCAGCCAUGGCGCGGUGAAUACGUUCCCGGGCCUUGUACACACCGCCCGUCAAGCCAUGAAAGCCGGGGGUACCUGAAGUACGUAACCGCAAGGAGCGUCCUAGGGUAAAACUGGUAAUUGGGGCUAAGUCGUAACAAGGUAGCCGUACCGGAAGGUGCGGCUG
rnacentral:rRNA from 1 species